rnacentral:rRNA from 1 species
ACUACGGGGGGGCAGCAGUGAGGAAUAUUGGUCAAUGGGCGGGAGCCUGAACCAGCCAAGUCGCGUGAGGGAAGACGGUCCUAUGGAUUGUAAACCUCUUUAGGCGGGGAGCAAUGCCGGGCACGCGUGCCCGGAGGGAGAGUACCCGCAGAAUAAGCAUCGGCUAACUCCGUGCCAGCAGCCGCGGUAAUACGGGGGAUGCGAUCGUUAUCCGGAUUUAUUGGGUUUAAAGGGUGCGUAGGCGGAUUUUUAAGUCAGCGGUAAAAUGUCCGGGAUGAACCCGGGCCGGCCGUUGAAACUGGGGAUCUUGAGUGGGCGAGAAGGAGGCGGAAGGCGUGGUGUAGCGGUGAAAUGCAUAGAUAUCACGCAGAACUCAGAUUGCGAAGGCAGCAUAUCGGCGCCCGACUGACGCUGAGGCACGAAAGCGUGGGGAUCGAACAGGAUUAGAUACCCGGGUAGUC